GACGAACGCUGGCGGCGUGCUUAACACAUGCAAGUCGAACGGAAAGGCCCUGCUUUUGUGGGGUGCUCGAGUGGCGAACGGGUGAGUAACAAGUGAGUAACCUGCCCUUGACUUUGGGAUAACUUCAGGAAACUGGGGCUAAUACCGGAUAGGAGCUCCUGCUGCAUGGUGGGGGUUGGAAAGUUUCGGCGGUUGGGGAUGGACUCGCGGCUUAUCAGCUUGUUGGUGGGGUAGUGGCCUACCAAGGCUUUGACGGGUAGCCGGCCUGAGAGGGUGACCGGCCACAUUGGGACUGAGAUACGGCCCAGACUCCUACGGGAGGCAGCAGUGGGGAAUAUUGCACAAUGGGCGGAAGCCUGAUGCAGCAACGCCGCGUGCGGGAUGACGGCCUUCGGGUUGUAAACCGCUUUCGCCUGUGACGAAGCGUGAGUGACGGUAAUGGGUAAAGAAGCACCGGCUAACUACGUG
rnacentral:rRNA from 1 species